rnacentral:rRNA from 1 species
GAUUUGAUCUUGGCUCAGAUUGAACGCUGGCGGCAGGCCUAACACAUGCAAGUCGAACGGUAACAGGAAGCAGCUUGCUGCUUCGCUGACGAGUGGCGGACGGGUGAGUAAUGUCUGGGAAGCUGCCUGAUGGAGGGGGAUAACUACUGGAAACGGUAGCUAAUACCGCAUAAUGUCGCAAGACCAAAGAGGGGGACCUUCGGGCCUCUUGCCAUCGGAUGUGCCCAGAUGGGAUUAGCUUGUUGGUGGGUAACGGCUCACCAAGGCGACGAUCCCUAGCUGGUCUGAGAGGAUGACCAGCCACACUGGAACUGAGACACGGUCCAGACUCCU